rnacentral:rRNA from 1 species
AGAACGAACGCUGGCGGCAGGCUUAACACAUGCAAGUCGAGCGCAUCCUUCGGGGUGAGCGGCAGACGGGUGAGUAACGCGUGGGGAUAUGCCCAGAGGUGGGGAAUAACUGUGGGAAACUACAGCUAAUACCGCAUAAGCCCUUCGGGGGAAAGAUUUAUUGCCUUUGGAUUAACCCGCGUCAGAUUAGCUAGUUGGUAGGGUAAUGGCCUACCAAGGCGACGAUCUGUAGCUGGUCUGAGAGGAUGAUCAGCCACACUGGGACUGAGACACGGCCCAGACUCCUACGGGAGGCAGCAGUGGGAAUAUUGGACAAUGGGCGCAAGCCUGAUCCAGCCAUGCCGCGUGAGUGAUGACGGCCUUAGGGUGUAAAGCUCUUUUAACAGGGACGAUAAUGACGGUACCUGUAGAAUAAGCCCGGCUAACUUCGUGCCAGCAGCCGC